UCAGCCGGCCGGGCGGCCGCUCCGGGUUUACCCGGGGAGGAAAGUCCGGGCUCCUUGGAAGCACGGUGCCGGAUAACGUCCGGCGAGGGAAACCUCAGGGAAAGUGCCACAGAAAGCAAACCGCCCCAGGGUCCUCGGAUUCGGGGGUAAGGGUGAAAGGGUGCGGUAAGAGCGCACCGCGGACGCAGCAAUGCGCACGGCAGGGUAAACCCCACCGGGAGCAAGACCGAAUAGGAACGACAGGCGUUCGCGCCAAGCCCCGCUUCCAGGCUCGUCGUUCGGGUUGGUUGCUCGAGGCGGUCAGCAAUGGCCGUCCCAGAGGAAUGGUCGCCACGCCCAGGUGUCGAAAGCCUGGGCCCUACAAAACCCGGCUUACAGGCCGGCUGACAUU
rnacentral:RNase_P_RNA from 1 species